rnacentral:rRNA from 1 species
UACGUAGGUGGCGAGCGUUGUCCGGAAUUACUGGGCGUAAAGGGCGUGUAGGCGGACAUUUAAGUCAGGUGUGAAAAUUUCGGGCUUAACCCAAAAUGUGCAUUUGAUACUGGAUGUCUUGAGUGCAGGAGAGGGCAGUGGAAUUCCUAGUGUAGCGGUGAAAUGCGUAGAUAUUAGGAGGAACACCAGUGGCGAAGGCGGCUGCCUGGACUGUAACUGACGCUGAGGCGCGAAAGCGUGGGGAG